rnacentral:lncRNA from 1 species
AUGGGCCUUAUCUGCUAUGAGAAGGAGAUAGAGAGAAUAGGUUAUGAAAGGUCAAACUUCAAAGGACAAAUUGCAGCCGUAUACAUCGUAGGUUAGGGCGGAGAAUGGCCGAAUGGGGAUUGGCAGGAACAUAUAAAAAAUUAGGUCUCAAAUUGAAAGAGGGGAAAAUAAGCUUCAACAAUAAUUGUAAAUAACUAGAGAUUUAGAUAAACAUGUAGUCUUUGUUUUUGACAAAUGUGAUUCUGGAAGAUAUCAAGCUUAUAACUCGUCUUUGUCAGGGAAUAUACUACCAUAUUCUUGGAAUAUGCGAGGAUAGUACCAACACUAGCUUCACCAGAACCAAUAUCAAUCUUCCGUUAUAUCUGUGGAUUAAUUAGUGAAAUCAGAGAUAUAGUCAAGGCAGCUAGGCCACAAACAAUAAAAGAAGCAGUGGAGCUGGCUAAAACUCUAACAGAUGGAUUGGUACGUACACAAGAAGAAAACAAGAAAAAGAAUCUAGCCUAAAGGAUUACCCAGGAACUACGUUAUGGUAAUUCCUAUCGUUGGAAAGGAACAGGUUCAUCUUCUUCAUCUUUCUGUAAACUCUGUAGAAAGAAGCACUCAGGGAAGUGUGUUGUGUCCUGCAACUUCUACAAGAUACCAGGACAUAAGGAAGAAGACUGUAAGAAGAAAGCUAAUGCCAGAAUAUGCUACAACUUUGGAGAGGCAGGUCACAUCCGCUAAAACUGUCGAAAACUACCUCCAGCAGCCAACAACAAAGCAAAGGCAAUAGAAUGACCCAAGAAGAAUGCCAGAGCAUUCGUACUAACAACCGAAGAAGCUAAGAUGAUCCUUGAUGUGAUUGCCGGUGGUUCGAAUUUCAGCCUAAUAGACAAGAAUGCUCAGGUGAGACUUUAAAUAUUGUUUGCUAGUUGGUGUGUUUAAACUUGAUUAUUUAGCUAGUACUUUUGGUUAGUUGAUAUAAGAUGUAGUUUAUAUAAAACAGCAACUGUCUAAAAGAUUUAUGUAUAGCUUCGGAUUUGAACUUAAAUUUAGCACAUUUGACCUCAAAAGUUGAAGGAUAUUUUCUUUAACGGCACUGAAAGGUUAAAUUUAGCAUAUUU